rnacentral:lncRNA from 1 species
AAGUACCACAAUUAUUCAUCGACACAAAUAAACAAAACAUAUAACUUUUACAACAUAAAGUGAUCAAUAAUUUGCUAUCUGUUGCAAGCUUUGGAGAAAAAAUAUGGCGGAAAUUAUUAAGUUUGCUUAUUUAAUGAUCUUUUUUAUUUCUUUGUUUCUUGUUGUAACUGAUGUUAAUGGUAAAUCACUUUUGUAUCCUUUUGAAUUUUCUUGUUUAUCUUCUACAAAAUAUGUCAUCCCUUGUGGUAAUUUUUGUUUCUUAUUUUUAUAUCACAGCAUUGUGGAAAAAAUGCAAAGACGAUGAUGGUUGUCGGUACUUUCGGUGUAUAUCUCCUUAUGUUCCAAAAUGUGUUUAUCGUACAUGUAAAUGUCUUCCUCUGAAGGAUGAGAAUCCUCUCUAUAUCAAUACCCUUAUCCCUCGCUGAUAUCUUUAGAGUCUUCUCCAGCUUCCACACAAUCAGAUCGUAAAUGUCAUUUUUUUUUUGCUUAGAUUAGGAUUUCCGACGGUCUUCACAGAGCUGGUUACUUUGGUGGGUUGCAGUUUGCUUAGUUUUGUGUGGAGUAGGUUCGAUUGAAAUCGUUUACUUUUAGCAUGGCAAGUGUGCUUAUAGUUGAGAGAUGGUUCUAUUCUGCUUCAAUUCUGAAAUGCUACGUCCGAAAUUUGGUGUUUGGGUAGGAGUUGGUGUUAGAAGGACGAUAAUGUGUCUUUAUUUGAAUUUCAAAUGAUGUUGUUUUUAUUUAGGUGAUUUCAAAUGCACAAUUUUUAUUUUAUUUAUCUUUUUAGUUUCUUAACUAGUGCCCCGAGAACACUAGUUAAGCAAGACCUUUGUAAAAUAACUACUACAUCCGUUAAAUAUAAGACUCUUUGAAAAAAUUACUGAGAUUAAGAAAGUUGAUUGUUCCAUGAAAUUUGUUGACGAUUGAUAUGAUUUUUACAAUUUUAUAUCCGUCAAGAGAAAUAAUAAAUUAUUGAUUUUUUAG